GACGAACGCUGGCGGCGUGCUUAACACAUGCAAGUCGAACGGAAAGGCCCCGCUUUUGUGGGGUGCUCGAGUGGCGAACGGGUGAGUAACACGUGAGUAACCUGCCCUUGACUUUGGGAUAACUUCAGGAAACUGGGGCUAAUACCGGAUAGGAGCUCCUGCUGCAUGGUGGGGGUUGGAAAGUUUCGGCGGUUAGGGAUGGACUCGCGGCUUAUCAGCUUGUUGGUGGGGUAGUGGCUUACCAAGGCUUUGACGGGUAGCCGGCCUGAGAGGGUGACCGGCCACAUUGGGACUGAGAUACGGCCCAGACUCCUACGGGAGGCAGCAGUGGGGAAUAUUGCACAAUGGGCGGAAGCCUGAUGCAGCAACGCCGCGUGCGGGAUGACGGCCUUCGGGUUGUAAACCGCUUUCGCCUGUGACGAAGCGUGAGUGACGGUAAUGGGUAAAGAAGCACCGGCUAACUACGUG
rnacentral:rRNA from 1 species